rnacentral:lncRNA from 1 species
GUCUCACUUCAUUGCCCAGGCUAGUCUCGAACUUCUGGGCUCCAGAGAUCCACCCACCUUGGCCUCCCAAAGUGUCAGGAUUACAGGUGUGAGCCACGGCACCCGACCCAGGAAGAAGAAAAUUAACCCAGAAAAAUUCCUACCUUUUCCUUGCUUGCAUCUGGCAUGAAAAAUAUGAGGCAUGUGCCCUUGUCCUUAACCUUACCCAAGAAGUGAAGAACCAAGAAUAAUGUAUGUAAAAUGACUUUUAGCAAGAAUUGGGACCACAUACGGUAAAACAUCACAUAAAAACACAUUUUUAAAAACUUAAAGAACAUAACUUCGCCCUUUGAACUGUUUUCUACUAUGGAAAUCUUACGAUUUGGAGCACUUACGGUAGCAUCCUGGUUUCUCACCUACUCAAAUAUCC